rnacentral:tRNA from 1 species
CCUAUUUUGGCAGAUUAGUGCAAUAAGUUUAAGCCUUAUAUAUAAAGAUCCAUCUUUUUUUAGGA